rnacentral:rRNA from 1 species
GGCUGAACCAGCAACUUGGGAGAAUGCAUUCUUAGUAUAAUAUAGGUAUGUGUAUGUGUUUUAUAUAUAUAUUUAUAUUAUAAUUAGGAAAUCAUGAAAUGUGAAUGUAAUUCUAGGUAAAAGAUUGAUAAUGACAAAUUUUUAUCUAAAUGUCUUGACCAAAUCUUGUGCCAGCAGUCGCGGCAACACAAGGAAGACAAGUGUUAUUCAUCUUAAAUUGGUUUAAAGGGUACCUAGACGGUAAAUUAGGCCUUAAUUGGUACGUUUUUACUAGAGUUAUACAUGCGAGGGGAUUGUGUCAGUAUUACCAGAGUAGAGAUGUAAUUUUUUAAUACUGUUAAGACUGGUAAAGGCGAAAGCAA